rnacentral:tRNA from 1 species
GCCUAAAGUCCUGUAACACA